AUGCUCACGAGUUUAAUCACUUCCAUACCGCACCGGGGGUUAGUAUGAAGGUGAGCAAAAUAGGGCCGAUGCCGUCGGGACCGACAAAAUCACCAAAUUUGCUCACUAGAAAGGGGCGAGAGCAAACAUGCACUGAAAAAAUUCUACCGUUUUGAGCAGAAUUAAACAAACGAUGUCGCAGCGUGUAGAUGUUUGUUGAUAUAUUUAUUUUAAGAAAAAAAUUGUAUCAGCUUAAAAUUGUGGAUGGUUUUUCUUGUAAUAACUGCAGUUAAAUUCGCAAUUUCGUUACAUUUUUUCGGGGUUUUCCAGGAAUUGAACGAGAAAGUGUAAAUGCUGGUUCUGAUGAUAAACAAACUUGAAGCAUCGUAAUUUGUGACCAAAAAUGGUCACUCGGAGUUUCUCGGAGUAAUAAUAAUCGAGACCAGUGCGCUGUGCAGGAUUUUUGUAUCCAACCGGCCGAUAUGGGUGGCAUUCCAGUACUGUCCCUACCGAUUCGGCUUCCGGAACGAGGUCCAAUAAGUUUGCAACUAAUGGGACCCAGUUUUUCGGAGCAGCAAUUAUUUCAAUCAGCACGUUGGAUAGAAAAAGAAGUUGAAGAUUUUUUAGAAAAGUAUGAUUUUAAUAUAAAUAUAAUAAACAAAUAAAGUUGAAUUUUAGUUGAAUUGUUUGGUUUGUUAAAUUUUGUUUUUCGGGUCCAUUUGUUAGGAAAUAUAAGUGCCCGGCGUUUUGAAAGCAAAAUCGAGCUUAAUUCGAAAAUAUAUUCUUAUCUGAACUUAUUUUA